UUUUUAUCUUGAUUGAUGUAGACUUAUUAUGUUUUAUUUUCUAUUUUAGACAUAUUUAUCACAAACAAAUUGAAAAACAACUGGAACGUAAUAGUUCCUGUACACCCCAAAUCAGCUGUUCAGAGGAGAUUUCUGGCAUUGUGCCAUCCCUGGAAGAAAAAGCAGAAGAAAGUUCUUCGGAAGAUUCUAUAAGCAGACUCUCUGACAAAACAGGACCUGAUGAUACCUUGCCAAGCACAGAUGAUGAAAUGGAUUUUGAUACGGAGUGUUCCCAUAAAAGUCUCCUGGAAACAUCUGCCAGACGUCUAUUUGUAUCCAGAAAUCAAAACAUAAAAGAGAAAAUUUCUUUGAGAAAAAGUGAAGGUAAGAUUAUAUUAUGUAGAUAGUGGGUUUUCUAUUAAAGAAAGAAAAAGAAAAAUGGUAUCUGGGAGUUGGAGAAAUAGGAACUGGGACAUGGGGACUGCAAUAGAGUCUUAUUAUCAAAUACAUAGAAGAGAAAAAUCUAAUGCUACUCACUGGAUCUAUAAGCUAUAUUGUAAUGCUGGAGAAACUGAAGCAAGAUAGAAAUUAGAGAGUAUUUAAUUGAAUUUUAAUUGAAUUGAAUUGAAUUGCGUUGAAUUGAAUUGAAAGGGAGAGAUUUACUGGGACUAAAUGGAUCCUUGGUUUGGUCCCAGGGUUGAAUAAGACUAUUGUCUCCAAGAAUCUAGCAAACAAUGUGAGUUCUCAAUGACAUGUAAAUACACACACACACACACA
rnacentral:lncRNA from 1 species